ACGUCGGUCCCGCCCGCAGAAAAUCAAUACAGAGUUGCGGUGACUAAAACGGAGAGAGAGAGAGAGAGAGAGAGAGAGAGAGAGAGAGAGAGAGAGAGAGAGAGAGAGAGAGAGAGAGAGAGAGAUGGGGGCGGGGUAGUGGGUCUAUCUCCACUUCCGUGUAUCAUUUUUUUUUUUAGAAUUUCGUCCUCUUACUUUUUUCUUCCUCCUCUACCUCCUUAUCCUCCUCCUCCUCACCCCCACCUCUCUCUCUCUCUCUCUCUCUCUCUCUCUCUCUCUCUCUCUCUCUCACACACACACACACACACACACACACACACACACCAGUGCACUUUCAUCAACGGAGUGGCAACAACAAGAGGAUGGCUCUUACAUCAACGAAACCACACAAUUAAACCUCAUAAGCAAGCAAGUCGCUCUGUAUGCAUGCCUGUCUGUGUUUCUGAGGAGAGAUGACCCUUCUAUCAACUCUGCUACAUGGAGGAAUGAUACUAUAUUCUCCUUGCAGAUAUAUACGCGUACAAAGCCAGCAAGUCAAGAGGAGGCGCGUUCUAAGGGAGGACAUGAUCGGGUUUUGUAUGUCAGCAUCUCCGGUUAUGGUGAGAAAAGUGUAUAUAUAGCAUACUCGUGUAAAGAGAAAAGGCGAUCUUGUGUACCAGGCGACCCAUUCUUCCCAUCCUUCUCAUCCUCCUCCCCCUCCUCCUCUUUUUCCUCCUCCUCUUUGUCUUCGUCUUCCGUCUUCCUCUUCCUCUUCCUCCUCCUUCUCCCAAUGGCUGAUAUGUUUGAUAAAGGGGUAAAUCUGACUCCGUAGAAAAUAAUUAUAAAUGAAAAGUCAGCCCUUAACUUAAACUUGACCUCAAAAGACCCGUAAGAAAAAUCGAGAGUAUAUGAAACGGUGUAUAGCGACUAAAGAUAAUUUUUUUCGUUUGCUAGUGGCUUGUUUGAAAUUAUAUAUCUGCAAUGUUCACCCUUGACUUCUUCAUCUCAUCUGACAAGGCAAUGAAACAUGACAAGAUACGUAAUUACAUGAUCCGGCAGCUUCUGUAAACGCCACUUGGGAUAAGCUUGGGCGAGUGAACUUUUCGUGUGACUUGUCAUCAUCAUCAUACUCCCCAAUUAGAGGUAUGCUAAUUCACAGACCUUUAAAACAAUUUGAGAAAGAUUAGACGUUGAUAAAUACCGACCAAAACGUUCAGACACAGUCAUUACACAAGUGCGGAGAUUUGCGGCAAGAACGUAAUAACUGACGAAACCAGGCAGCGUAAGUUUGCUUUUUUUGGAUCUUAAUAAAAAAGAGACAAAGAGUGUACGCGUCUGUUACAGCUACUGGAAAUACAGGGGAGGGAGCGAGCAGCGAGAGUACUGAGAGAAGGUCAAACCGUGUAGCGUACGUUUGCAUCUCCGAGUCUUUAAAGAGGGAAAGAUUGGACGCGUCUGCUGAAAGGGCCACAAGUAAGCAGGAAAAGAGUGCAACAGAGGUUAUUUCAGGUAUAAGGUAAGACAAGGUAAGGUAAGGAAGAGUAAGGUAAGAUAAGGUAAGACAAGAUAAGGUAAGGUAAGGUAAGAUAGGGUGAAGUAAGAUAUAGAAAGAUGAUAUUUGGUAUGGGAAGGGAAAGGAAGGGAAAGGAAAGGGAAGGGAAGGGAAGAGAAGGAAAGUGAAGGAACGGGAAAGGAAGAGAAGGGAAAGGAAGGGAGGGGAAGGGAAGGGAGGAGAAGGAAAGCGAAGGAAAGGAAAGGCAAGGGAAGAGAAGGGAAAGGAAGGGAUGAGGAGGGAAGGCUUAGCAAGGUGAGGUGAUGUAAUGUGAGGUAAGGUAAGGAAAGGUAGGGUGAGAAGCACGUGUCUAUAUGUGUGCCUUACUGAGCCUUUGAAGAAAAGAAGAUUACACGUGUCUGUAAGGUAAAGUAAGGUAAGGGAAGAUAAGAAAAUGUAAACUUAUGCAAGGUAAGGUGAUGUAAGGUAAGGUGAAUAAGGUGAGAUAAAGUAAGGCAAGGAGAACGUCUAUGCGUGUGAUUUCUGAGCCUUUGAAGAAAAAAAGAUUAAGGGAUGUAUUCUCAGACAGAUCGGCGCCCUAGAACACAUAUUUGACAAGGCUUUCGUGGGGGUCUGAGGCAUU